rfam:Perkinsus marinus ATCC 50983 gcontig_1104296310938, whole genome shotgun sequence.
GACAGCGUGUCCGAGUGGUUAAGUAGAUGGACUCGACAUUCAUUAGGCUCUGCCUGCGCAGGUUCGAAUCCUGCCGCUGUCG